rnacentral:tRNA from 1 species
UAGAUUUUAAGUUAUGUAAACUAAUAGCCUUCCAAGCUAUACAAAAGGAUUCUUAGGUCUAA